CACGUAGGCAGCGAGCGUUGUUCGGAGUUACUGGGCGUAAAGAGUGCGUAGGCGGUUUUCUAAGUUUGGUGUGAAAUCUCCCGGCUUAACUGGGAGGGUGCGCCGAAGACUGGAAGGCUUGAGUAUGGGAGAGGUAAGCGGAAUUCCUGGUGUAGCGGUGAAAUGCGUAGAUAUCAGGAGGAACACCUGCGGUGUAGACGGCUUACUGGACCAUAACUGACGCUGAGGCACGAAAGCGUGGGUAGCAAACAGG
rnacentral:rRNA from 1 species